AUAUUGGCAAGUACAAUCCCAUAAUUCAAUUAAAGUUUAACACUUCUGCGACAAUGCGAUGUGCCAUGGGAGGCAAUGUUAAUGCUAAACCCUCUCAGAGAUUAAGAACAUUGA
rnacentral:lncRNA from 1 species